UGAGGAAUAUUGGACAAUGGGCGAGAGCCUGAUCCAGCCAUGCCGCGUGCAGGAAGACUGCCCUAUGGGUUGUAAACUGCUUUUAUACAGGAAGAAUAAGGGGCACGUGUGCCCUGAUGACGGUACUGUAUGAAUAAGCAUCGGCUAACUCCGUGCCAGCAGCCGCGGUAAUACGGAGGAUGCAAGCGUUAUCCGGAAUCAUUGGGUUUAAAGGGUCCGUAGGCGGGAUGUUAAGUCAGGGGUGAAAGUUUGCAGCUCAACUGUAAAAUUGCCUUUGAUACUGGCGUUCUUGAAUUAUUGUGAAGUGGUUAGAAUGUGUAGUGUAGCGGUGAAAUGCAUAGAUAUUACACAGAAUACCGAUUGCGAAGGCAGAUCACUAACAAUAUAUUGACGCUGAUGGACGAAAGCGUGGGGAGCGAACAGGAUUAGAUACCCUGGUAGUCCACGCCGUAAACGAUGGUUACUAGCUGUUCGGUCGCAAGACUGAGUG
rnacentral:rRNA from 1 species